rnacentral:rRNA from 1 species
CGGUGGAGCAUGUGGUUUAAUUCGAGGCAACGCGAAGAACCUUACCAGCCCUUGACUUCCCGACGGGGGACCAGAGAUGACUUAAUCGUACAGGUGUGACGAGCGCAACCCUUGCCAUUAGUUGCCAUCGGGAUGUCAAGUAUCAUGGCCCUUACGGGCUGGCUACAUACGUGGCGGUGACAUGGGCAGCCACUCCGCGAGGAGGAGCUUCCCAAAAAGCCGUCUCAGUUCGGAUUGUUCUGCAACUCGAGAGCAUGAAGUCGGAAUCGCUAGUAAUCGGGAUCAGCGUGCCGCGGUGAAUACGUUCCCGGGCCUUGUACACACCGCCGUCACACCAUGGGAGUUGGUUUUACCCGAAGACGGUGCGCUAACCUCGCAAGAGGAGGCAGCCGGCCACGUAGGGUCAGCGACUGGGGUGAAGUCGUACAAGGU